UGGGGAAUCUUGCGCAAUGGGGGAAACCCUGACGCAGCGACGCCGCGUGCGGGAUGAAGGCCUUCGGGUUGUAAACCGCUUUCAGCAGGGACGAGGCCUUAUGGUGACGGUACCUGCAGAAGAAGCUCCGGCUAAAUACGUGCCAGCAGCCGCGGUAAUACGUAUGGAGCAAGCGUUAUCCGGAUUCAUUGGGCGUAAAGCGCUCGUAGGCGGUCUGUUAGGUCGGCAAGUUAAAUCCGGGGGCUCAACCCCCGUCCGCUUCCGAUACCGGCAGACUUGAGUUUGGUAGGGGAAGGUGGAAUUCCUAGUGUAGCGGUGAAAUGCGUAGAGAUUAGGAGGAACACCGGUGGCGAAAGCGGCUUUUUGGCCUGCAACUGACACUGAGGCGCGAAAGCGUGGGGAGCAAACAGG
rnacentral:rRNA from 1 species